CCGAGUCGUCGACACGAGUUGUUGCUGGUCCUCAAACGGGGGACACGUGCACGCUCUGUUUACACAUCCACUCACACCUGUGCACCCUCUGUAGUUCUAUGGUCUGGGGGGCCCUGCCUCCCUUCUGUGGUUCUGCAUAUUUACACACGCAAUGUAACAAAGUCUUAUGGAAUGCGCAUCGCGUUUAACGCAAUACAAUA
rnacentral:misc_RNA from 1 species